rnacentral:lncRNA from 10 species
AUGCAUUUUGAUUCUAGUGACGCAUUUCUAAGCAUGACUGUCAAAGAAACACAUAAGCAUGUGACUUUAUGGCAGCAUCUAUAAGGAAAAUUGAAGUGGGGACGUGGCAACUUUUUGGAUAAUUCAGGGAGAUGCCAUUGCCUUUCAUCAAGAAAACAUGUCAGGAGAUCUAAAUGUAACAAAUACUCCCCCAAAGAAUUGGAACUUCAGCAAUGGGAAGAAGCAGAAGCUUAACAAAUUAACAGGCAGAUUGGUGGUUGCUGCGUGGUAGAAGCUUGGCUCAUCAGAAAGUUCCAGCCUCCAACCACAGUUGAAAUGGCCCACAUCCAUUGGAGCAAAGAAAAGGUCAGUAAUUUGUUAGAAUUUUGAGAAAAGAGGGUUUCUUUGCACUAGGAUU